rnacentral:rRNA from 1 species
GCGUCCCCCAGAAUGGGCGAGGUCACCCCGCCCUAGUUUAAUCAUAUCCAAUAAGCGGCGAGAGAAAAAAACUUUCCC